AGCCUAAGCCUUGUACCUUUUGCAUCAUGAUUUAGCCAGUACCAAACAAGCAAAGAGAUCUUUAGUUUGAAGCCCCGAAACCAAGUGAGCUACCCCGGGACAGCCUAACAAGGGCCAACCCGUCUCUGUGGCAAAAGAGUGGGAAGAGCCCCGGGUAGAGGUGACAGACCUACCGAACUUGGUGAUAGCUGGUUGCCUAAGAAAUGAAUAGAAGUUCAGCCUCGUCCCCCUUAGCCCAAUCAAGAAAUAUCUAAUAAAGCACAUAAGAGAAUACACGAGAGUUAGUUAAAGGGGGUACAGCCCCUUUAACCAAGGACACAACCUUAACAGGAGGAUAAGGAUCACACUUUUCAAAACCGGUCGUCUCAGUGGGCCUAAAAGCAGCCAUCUGACCAGAAAGCGUUAAAGCUCAAACGACACAAGAUUUAUUAUUCUGAUAAACAAUCCAACUCCCCUAAUACUAUUAGGCCACUCCAUGCAAACAUGGAAGAGACCAUGCUAAAAUGAGUAACAAGAGACUAAACUCUCUCCAAGCACAAGUGUAAGCCAGACCGGACAAGCCACUGGAAAUUAACGAACUCAGAAAAAGAGUGUAAUGUGAAACACAAAAAAGCCAAGAAAAUCUCACAACGAAAAUCGUUAACCUCACACUAGAAUGCCACAAAGGAAAGACUAAAAGAGAA
rnacentral:rRNA from 1 species